UAAGGAGCACCACGAAAAGCAUCCCAACAAGUGGGGUGCAAGCCGUGAGGGGUUCUCGUCUGUAGUGGACGAAAGCCGGGUGCACGACAACAAGCAAAGCCAGACACACUAUUGGGUCCUGAGGCAACACUCGGGCUCUGUUCGAGAGUUGUCCCACCAUCUUGGUGGUGGGGUGUGGUGUUUGAGAAUUGGAUAGUGGUUGCGAGCAUCAAAUGGAUGCGUUGCCCUACGGGUAGCGUGUUCUUUUGUGCAAUUUUAUUCUUUGGUUUUUGUGUUUGU
rnacentral:misc_RNA from 1 species